AGAGUUUGAUCCUGGCUCAGGAUGAACGCUGGCGGCGUGCUUAACACAUGCAAGUCGAACGAACCUUCGGGUUAGUGGCGGACGGGUGAGUAACGCGUGAGAAUCUGCCCUCAGGAGGGGGAUAACGGCUGGAAACGGCCGCUAAUACCCCAUAUGCCGAGAGGUGAAAUGAAUUUCGCCUGAGGAUGAGCUCGCGUCUGAUUAGCUAGUUGGUGGGGUAAGAGCCUACCAAGGCUUCGAUCAGUAGCUGGUCUGAGAGGAUGAUCAGCCACACUGGGACUGAGACACGGCCCAGACUGCUACGGGAGGCAGCAGUGGGGAAUUUUCCGCAAUGGGCGAAAGCCUGACGGAGCAACGCCGCGUGAGGGAUGAAGGCCUCUGGGCUGUAAACCUCUUUUCUCAAGGAAGAAGAUCUGACGGUACUUGAGGAAUAAGCCACGGCUAAUUCCGUGCCAGCAGCCGCGGUAAUACGGGAGUGGCAAGCGUUAUCCGGAAUUAUUGGGCGUAAAGCGUCCGCAGGCGGCCUCGUAAGUCUGUCGUUAAAGCGUGGAGCUUAACUCCAUUUCAGCGAUGGAAACUGUGAGGCUAGAGUGUGGUAGGGGCAGAGGGAAUUCCCGGUGUAGCGGUGAAAUGCGUAGAUAUCGGGAAGAACACCAGUGGCGAAGGCGCUCUGCUGGGCCAUAACUGACGCUCAUGGACGAAAGCCAGGGGAGCGAAAGGGAUUAGAUACCCCUGUAGUCCUGGCCGUAAACGAUGAACACUAGGUGUCGGGGGAAUCGACCCCCUCGGUGUCGUAGCCA
rnacentral:rRNA from 1 species